rnacentral:pre_miRNA from 1 species
AAAAAAUACAAACCCUGGUUUCCGUGUCCAACAUUUGACCGUCCGUCUUAUUUGAAAAAAUUAUGAAAAAAAUUAAAAAAGACAAGUCAUGUAUAAAAUAUUAAUCAUGUUUUAUCAUCUAACAACAAUGAAAAUACAAAUUAUAAAAAAAUUUCAUAUAAGACGGACAGUCAAAGUUGGACACGGAAACCCAGAGUUUGCAUUUUUU